GCUAAAAUCUUAGCAUAACAAAAGCGAAAAUGAAUAAAGCCGUACUUAUAAGCUAAAACUAGCAAUCAUACAACAAAAAACUAUAAUUGGCAAAAACAGUAGCUUAAAACUAAAACUAGCAAAACAAUAGCUAAAAUCUUAGCAUAAUAAAAGCUAAAAGCUAAACCUGGCAAUCCAGUAACAAAACCCUAUAAUUAACAAAAACACUUGCUUCAAACUAAAACCAGCAAGACAGCAGCCAAAAGUUAAAACUUGUAAAAUAGUAGCUAAAAGCUAAAACUAGCAAUCAUAUAACAAAAAGCUAUGAUUAGCAAACACAGUGACCUAACUAAAACUGGCAAAACAAUAGCUAAAAUCUUAGCAUAACGAAAGCUAAACCUGGCAAUCCAGUAACAAAAAGCUAUAAUUAGCAUAAACACUAGCUUCAAGCUAAAACAGUAAGAUAGUAGUCAAAAGUUAAAACUUGUAACACAGUAGCUAAAAGUUAAAGCUAAUAAAACUGUAGCUAAAAGCUAAAACUAGCAAUCAUAUAACAAAAAGUUAUAAUUAGCAAGAACAGCUUAAAACUGAAAGUAGCAAAACAGUAGCUAAAAUCUUAGCAUAACAAAAGUUAAAAGCUAAACCUGGCAAUCCAGUAACAAAACCCUAUAAUUAGCAGAAACACUAGCUUCAAACUAAAACUAGCAAGAUAGUAGUCAAAAGUUAAAGCUUGUAAAACUGUAGCUAAAAGCUAAAGCUAAUAAAACUGUAGCUAAAAGCUAAAACUAGCAAUCAUAUAACAAAAAGUUAUAAUUAGCAAAAACAGUGGCUUAAAACUAAAAGUAGCAAAACAGUAGCUAAAAUCUUAGCAUAAUUAAAGCUAAAAGCUAAACCUGGUAAUCCAGUAACAAAAAGCUAUAAUUAGCAAAAAAAACACUAGCUUCAAACUGAAACAGUAAGAUAGUAGUCAAAAUUUAAAACUUGUAAAACAGUAGCUAAAAGCUAAAACUAAAAGCUAAAACUUGCUAUCAUAUAACAAAAAGCUAUAACUAUCAUAAGCACUAGCUUCGAGCUAAAACUAGCCGAAUGUGUUCAGUAAGAUGUGAUUUGAAGAAGAGGAGAGCUGAAGAUGACUUUAUGACGUGGAGAAAAUGAGCUGCUCUUCACAGAUCAUCACUGAUCACUUGAUGCAGCCAGAAGAGUCUCUGAGCUGGUUYAUGAACUGGUUUGUGAAACAACAAACUCAGACCAGUUCAUCAGCAGAAUCUGUUUUCAGGCAAACCCAAAAGACGACACAUGUUUUCAGCUCAAACCAAAUCAACAAUCACAGAAACGUGUAAGGACCUGCUGUGUCUGAGCUUUAGUUUGUGUUUUAUUCUGGUGCUCCAGUCUGAGGCUUGUUGGUGGCGUGCAGCAGCUCCCAUUACUCCCACAGACACACCUGCUCUGAAGCAGGCUGCACCCUGAGUUCUGGCUCAGUWAUGAUGCAGAGAUGUCAGCAGGAAACAACAGAAGCUGUCAAAGCAAACACACUGUGAGAGCUGUUCAGGCUGCCAUUGUACCUGCUGCCUGCCUGAGGCCAGAGGCUCAGGAGGACAGGGAAACACCUGGAACUGAAAACAUCCAGCUGCUCAGGCUCUGUGUGUCACUCUGCUCCAGCUGCAGACUCCAAUGGCUUUUUAAAAACCAAACUCACUGUGUGAAGGUUUUCGGAUUUUGCAGAACCACAUUUAAAUAAAGUUUAUUCAAACUAAAAUUCAGGUUUCUGCAAAAACAUCAGAGUUGACACCGAGAUAUUUUAGUCCUUUCUGGAAAAGAUGGAGCCUUUCUGCAGGGGGCGGAGCCAGAGGGGCGAAGACACCCUGCAGCUACAAUUAUUGGACAGCAGGAACAGCCGGUCGAGCAACAGCAAACUCAUCUGCAGCCAUGAAUCUCUGAUAAUAUUUGAGGCACAAAAAGGAGCUGAUUGUUUGUUCGUGSUAAAACCCUGAAUGCUUCAUUUAUCUGAGCGAGCCUGAGCGUCGGCGGCCUCGCUGGGCCUACGAGGAAGCAGAGAAAUCAUCACUCCUUUGUUUGGUUAGUGGGUCACUCCACUGAGCCGUGCUCUCCURGUGGGGUGCCAGCAUCCAUUAAAGCCCGACUCUGUCGGUUUGUUCAGCACGCUCACUUUCCUCUUUCUUCUUCUUCUUCUUUAUAUAUAAAUAUAUAUCUCCUCCCUGACUGUCUUUGCUGUUAAMGCACUCUGUGACACUCGGGUCAGAAGUUGUGGUCUCACUCAGCGCGCUGAGAAAUGAAAGAAGUGUCCAUAAGCAGAAAAUUGCCCUUGCCGAUCCCUUAAAGUGAGRCUGGAUUAGAUAUCCUGGRCGAURGCUGCCAGCGAAGCUCCACUUAGCAGAUAUGAGAGCAGAGGAAGCAGCCGUGUCCCUGUGGGCUCUCCCAGGCCUGACAACAAAUCAAAAAGCAUCAGGACUCCAGGGCACGCGAGGGAGCAAAUCCAGCAUGAGUGACAGUUCCGAUGGCACCCUGAGAUGACUUUAGCUGUGAAUACAUGAAUAAAUUGUCUGUUUUUGUUUGUUUCUUCGA